UCUCUCUCUUCGCUCCUUGUUCUCUCUCAAUCCUCUCUUCUCUCUUCCUUCACCUUCAACGAAACCCAGCACGCCACCCCGAAAACCACCACACACCACCCUUUAAACCACCACAGCACCACCGAAAAUCCCCAAUUCCCAGUUGAUCUUCAACCGGAGAACUCAAACCUUCAACAAUUUCUACCCAGAAAACCCAGAUUCACUAAAAAGACCAAGAACCCUAACCCUAAGUCCUUUGAAGGACGAACCCUAACCCUCGUUUUCAAGAACCCUAACCCCUUUAAAACCCAGAUUCAAAAGACAUAUAACAAAUCAAGCAUGCAGAUCGAAAGCUUAAGCUACGUGGUUCGGAGAUGAGGGUGGCAAAGCUUCAAGGUAUUUAGGUUCGAGUUCGUCCCUCUCCAGAAAUUCCUCAAGCCUCCAAAAAAAAUUCUUUCAUCUAAUUCUUCUCUUAGAUUUAUACUUAGGGUUUAGAUUUAUUUUAGGUUAGAUUAGAUUUAAGAUUGAUUCAUGUAAAUUAAUUCAGAUUGUAAUUGGUUUGAUGAAUUAAUGGAAAAUUUAUUUGAUUUCA